UAGGGAAUCUUCCACAAUGGACGCAAGUCUGAUGGAGCAACGCCGCGUGAGUGAAGAAGGUCUUCGGAUCGUAAAGCUCUGUUGUUGGUGAAGAAGGAUAGAGGCAGUAACUGGUCUUUAUUUGACGGUAAUCAACCAGAAAGUCACGGCUAACUACGUGCCAGCAGCCGCGGUAAUACGUAGGUGGCAAGCGUUGUCCGGAUUUAUUGGGCGUAAAGCGAGCGCAGGCGGAAUGAUAAGUCUGAUGUGAAAGCCCACGGCUCAACCGUGGAACUGCAUCGGAAAACUGUCAUUCUUGAGUGCAGAAGAGGAGAGUGGAACUCCAUGUGUAGCGGUGGAAUGCGUAGAUAUAUGGAAGAACACCAGUGGCGAAAGGCGGCUCUCUGGUCUGCAAACUGACGCUGAGGCUCGAAAGCAUGGGUAGCGAACAGGAUUAGAUACCCUGGUAGUCCAUGCCGUAAACGAUGAGCGCUAGGU
rnacentral:rRNA from 1 species